CCUACGGGUGGCAGCAGUGGGGAAUAUUGGACAAUGGGGGCAACCCUGAUCCAGCCAUGCCGCGUGUGUGAAGAAGGCCCUCGGGUUGUAAAGCACUUUCAGUGAGGAAGAACGCCUGGUGGUUAAUACCCAUCAGGAAAGACAUCACUCACAGAAGAAGCACCGGCUAACUCCGUGCCAGCAGCCGCGGUAAUACGGAGGGUGCGAGCGUUAAUCGGAAUUACUGGGCGUAAAGCGCGCGUAGGUGGCUUGAUAAGCCGGUUGUGAAAGCCCCGGGCUCAACCUGGGAACGGCAUCCGGAACUGUCAAGCUAGAGUGCAGGAGAGGAAGGUAGAAUUCCCGGUGUAGCGGUGAAAUGCGUAGAGAUCGGGAGGAAUACCAGUGGCGAAGGCGGCCUUCUGGACUGACGCUGACGCUGAGGUGCGAAAGCGUGGGUAGCAAACAGGAUUAGAUACCCCGGUAGUC
rnacentral:rRNA from 1 species